CCUCGUUUGGUUCUAGAGUAUUAGCGGGGAUAGGCGAGUAUUAUCCCGGCCCAUUUCCGAAUCCCCAGUUUUCCCCGAUAGCCCAUUUGGUACUAGAGUUUUGGCCCAAAAAAAUCCCCGCCAUCCCCGGAAAACCCCGUCCCCGAUCCAUUUUUUGCCUUGGGCUCAAUCCACGACCCAGGGGUCGCGUAUUAUCCCCGUCCCCGAUCCAAACCCUGCCGGCGGCGAGCGUACCGGCGGCGAGCGGGCACUACCGAGUGGAGGUGCACGAGGCGGUAGCUGCCGGAGGGAAGGAACAUCUGCGGGGAAGACAAUACCACAUCACCGCUCCACAUCGCCGAUCCACAUCGCCGCUGCCGCCGUUCUUGGGACCUGACCGGCGACGCCACCUCCUGGACUUCGGUAUCCUCUCCGGACCUAGGGACAAUGAUACUGAGGCUCUCAAAUUUUUUGUGUUGAAUGAAGCUGAGAAAGCAGGAGAGGCAACGCUUCAAGAUGAGUUGUAGUGUGCUGGUAGACAAUGAUACUCUGCUCAAGCAACUUUUGAGUACUGCUCGACCUGUUUAAUUUUUGUUUGAUCGAGUUGGCUUGUACCGUCUCCUUGCGUUUGUUGCUAACUUGGUAUGUUACUACGUCAGAUGCAAGAAGAAUUUGUUGGUAUGCUAACUUGCGUUUGUCAGGAUGAGCUUCAGAGUUUGUUAGUGUGUUAUUUGUCAAUUUUAAUGUAUGCUGAACAUCAAGUAUGUUGCCAUGUCGAGAGUUCAAGUCCAGAGUGGCCUAUGAUUUAUUUGAAGACGGUUUA